AUGUCUAUUGAAAGGAGAGACGGUUAGCACUCCCCUUGAUAAGGAUGGAACACAUAAAUCGGUGGGUAUCUUU